GGUGCUGUGUGGGGGUUCUGUGUAUCCAUGGGAAGAUUUGGGAGUGUUUCAAGCACUAAUGAUGUUAAACAAGUUGAGUGGUGGGAAGAGAGUGAAUACACACUGGUUUACAGUGAUGUCUAUUGGAUCAGUUCUAACCUUGUGGUUAUGUUUAAGUGAUAAAAAAAAAAAACAGAGCUGGGAAUUUUCAUCUUUAAAAUAAAAACAGAUGCCUUUGGUGGAAGGGCUGCUCCACUUUCCCCCUUUCUGCUGCUCUCCGGAUUGAGACUGGAUUAAAGGGGGCUCCUUAGGCUCCAGGGCACAGGGUUAAUAUCUUAGGGACCCCAGGAAAAAACUGCUCUCCCCUGAGUUGAAUCAAUGCCACUGGGUAGUAGGGGCAACAGCUAGCCAUCUCCUAGCCCUAUUCUUGCUUGAAAGUGCUCCACUCCGGAGCUGAGUGCCACAGGGGGGUAUUGGUUAGCCAACACCUAGCCCUGGAAGCCCUCUCUUGAGCUUGAUUCCACUGGGGUAUAUCAGGGAACUGCUAACCAUCUGCUAGUCCUGGAAGUUAUUUGCUCUUAAUCUGUGGGCCACUGCGGUGUAUGGGGUGUUGCUAGCCACAUCCUAGCCCUGGAAGCCCUCUUCCGAACUGGGUAGCCACUGAAGAGUAUCAAGGAAACUGGUAGCCUGUGCAAAAGCCACUGCUUGGAAUAUAGAGCCUGAAACAAGACUCUGGGGACGGACAAAAGCCUGCUCUGGACACUUUCCUACAGGGAUAUACAGUGACAACCCCCUGAACUAAAUACUAAGGAGAAGCAGGAGAGCAGAAUUAAGAAGGAUCGCUGGUGUUGAAGAAAUUAGCAGGUUGUAGAAGCCAGAAAUCCAGCAAACUCCACGCUACAAAUCGCUGCCUGUGGAAGCUACACUUGGGGGCACCCAGCCUGAGCGUUUGUGGUCGCUCCUGGCACCGUCGCACUCGGCGCUGCCCAAAGAAUUCCACUUUCCCAGCCAAACCGGAGGGUGGGAAAGGGUAAGUGACAGAGCCUGACCCCGGAGCUACACACAGACCUGUCAGAUAUGGGAGAAUAAUAAGAAAAUCAUUGACACCUUUGCCUUCAGUACCAAUGAAAAUAUGCGCAGCCUGAAAAUGCUAAAUGGCCUGGAACUGCAACUGGAGAAAAGAGCUAGCACUCUAGAGGAUGUUUAAUGCGCCCCGCUCUUUCCUGCCGGGUCAGCGGAACAAAUUAACCCACAAGCUCUGUGCGCAAAGAACAGGGGCAAAUGGAUGGAAGACUUAGCGCUAAUUUUCAAGCAUAACGCAAACCCCGCAGAAGCAAAAGUUGAGUUUCAAACCACUAAUUAGCUUUGGUUAAUGAUUAUUAUAUUGCUUUUAAAACGAAAACUUUGUGCAGGGCCUGGUAUUGAAAGGGUUAACUUUGAAAAAAAAUAAAUAACAUUUUCAUUUUCCAUUUACAUCAAAUCAGAUCUUAAUCACAAAAGAACUUUCUAUAUUACAAGACCACCAGGCUUGCUCCUUGCAAAUGGUUUCAGGGGGGGGGAAAGUCACCACUGGCAUUACCCUGUCCUUCCAUCUUUGCCCUCUCUUGGGGGUUUAAAAUGAACCCAGAUAUGUGCUCAAUAGUUUUAUAUGGGGGGGGGUAAGAAAUGAGGAGUGGAAAUAAAAGUCCCCAUUUACAAAGAACCGGCACUUUCUGGAAAAAUCCAAUUUUACAGCAUAUUAAACUAUAUCUGGUACUGUG